rnacentral:lncRNA from 1 species
CUCCCACCUCUAUGCAGAACAGCCUAAGUUCAGUACCCCCAGUCUUUCUGUGCCUGCAAUGCAGAUAUGAUAGCUGGGCCUUUACCUGUUAUAGUGGACUGUGGAAGCAAGGGCUCCCCCCACCCUCGACGGGACAGUAGGAGGCUUGGACCGGAAGUCCUUGGGACAGAUUCAUACCAGCCCAUUAAGGCCAUCUCCAGGCAGUUAUCUCUGCUUCUGGUAGUUAAGGCAAGAUGUGGGAAGACCUGUAAGACUUCAGGCAAGGAGGCAGGUGAGGCCCCCUCCAUGGACCAUGUGAGGAUGAAGAUGCUUGAGGAUGAAUGUUGUCUGUUCCCAUGACUACCCCGUCCUCCUUUCCUCAUUGCUUUUCCUUCCAAAGCAAAAAUAUAGAACGAAAGUCUUGAUUAAUCACAAAAUUUUGGGCUAUUUUUUUCUUGGAGUGACUUAAUAUUUUAUCGCCCUGGCAGAUACUC